GCCCAGGUGGCUCAGUCGGUUAAGCGUCUGACUUCAGCUCAGGUCAUGAUCUCAUGGUUCGUGGGUUCGAGCCCCGUGUUGGGGU
rnacentral:tRNA from 1 species